rnacentral:rRNA from 1 species
UCAAGUUACAAAGAGCGCAGGGCGAAUGCCUUGGCACCAAAAGCCGAUGAAGGACGUGACAAGCUGCGAAAAGCUACGGUGAGGAGCACAUAUCCCACGACCCGUAGAUGUCCGAAUGGGGAAACCCGUAUGAGGGAAUAGCUCAUACAAUAAUAACUGAAUUCAUAGGUUAUUAUGGGGAACGAAGCGAAUUGAAACAUCUUAGUAGCUUCAGGAAAAGAAAUCAACAGAGAUUCCGCAAGUAGUGGCGAGCGAACGCGGAAGAGGCCAAACCAAGUUACUCCGGUAAUUUGGGGUUAUGGACUACCAUAAAUGAUCUGAAAGUCUAGCUGAAUGAGCGGUUGGAAAGCCGAGUCCAGAGAGCGUAAAAGUCGCGUAAGCGAAAGACGGAAAGCAUAGGUAGCACCAGAGUACUACGAGACACGAGAAACCUUGUAGGAAGUCGGGGGGACCACCCUCCAAGCCUAAACACUUUUGGUGACCGAUAGUGAACGAGUACUGUGAAGGAAAGGUGAAAAGAACCCCGGGAGGGGAGUGAAAUAGAACCUGAAACCCUGUGUUUACAAGCAGUCGGAGAGCGUUAAGGCUCGACGGCGUACUUUUUGUAUAACGGUCCGACGAGUUAUGGUUAUUGGCGAGGUUAAGAACUAGAGGUUCGGAGCCGAAGAGAAAUCGAGUACGAAAUGUGCGAAAAGUCAGUAGCUGUAGACCCGAAGCCGAGUGACCUAUCCAUGAGCAGGUUGAAGUGAAGGUAACACUUCAUGGAGGACCGAACCUAUAUCUGUCGCAAAAGGUUAGGAUGACUUGUGGAUAGCGGAGAAAUUCCAAACGAACUCGGCGAUAGCUGGUUCUCCCCGAAAUAGCUUUAGGGCUAGCCUCAUUUUAAUGUAUACCGGAGGUAGAGCACUGAAUUGACUAGGGGCCUUACCGGGCUACCGAAUCAUAUCAAACUACGAAUGCCGGCUAUAUAGAAAUGGGAGUCAGACUGUGACAGAUAAUGCCAUAGUCGAGAGGGAAACAACCCAGACCGUCAGCUAAGGUCCCAAAAUGAUUGUUAAGUGGAAAAGGAUGUGGAUUUGCUAAGACAGCUAGGAUGUUGGCUUAGAAGCAGCCACUCAUUUAAAGAGUGCGUAAUAGCUCACUAGUCGAGUGGGUCUGCGCCGAAGAUAUACGGGGCUAAACAAUCUACCGAAGCUACGGAACGCAAGUUGGUAGGGGAGCAUUCUGUAAGGAGUUGAAGCACGAUGGUAACGACGUGUGGAUCUAUCAGAAGAGAGAAUGUCGGAAUAAGUAACGUAAGGGAAGUGAGAAUCUUCCCCGUCGAAAAUCCAAGGUUUCCUGGGGAAGGUUCGUCCUCCCAGGGUUAGUCGGGACCUAAGGAGAGGCCAAGAGGCGUAUCCGAUGGAGAACAGGUAGACAUUCCUGUACCACGGCUUAACGAUAUGAGAGAAGCAGGGACACAGAGGGAUAGCUUAAACAUGUGACUGGAAGAACAUGUACAAGCCUAGUAGAUAGUUUGAUAGUGAAGUACGUCAGACGUUUCGAAGAGGUGAUGUGUAGGGAAAAUAAAGUACCAAAGUAAGCGAUUCCGCACUGGCGAGAAAAGCUGCUAUCCAGUUAAGAGGUGCCCGUACCGCAAACCGACACAGGUGGAUGAGAAGAGAAUUCUAAGACGAGCGGGUGACGCAUUGUUAAGGAACUCGGCAAAUUAACCCCGUACGUUAGCAAGAAGGGGUGCCUACGCAAGUAGGCCGCAGAGAAAUGGCCCGAGCAACUGUUUACCAAAAACACAGGUCUCCGCAAACUCGAAAGAGGAAGUAUGGGGGCUGACGCCUGCCCGGUGCUGGAAGGUCAUGGGAAUCUGUUAGUAUUUAGUACGAAGCAGUGAACUUAAGCCCCAGUAAACGGCGGCCGUAACUAUAACGGUCCUAAGGUAGCGAAAUUCCUUGUCAGGUAAGUUCUGACCCGCACGAAUGGCGUAAUGAUUUGGGCACUGUCUCGACAAUGCACCCGGUGAAAUUGUAGUACUUGUGAAAAUGCAAGUUACCCGCGACAGGAAGGAAAGACCCCAUGGAGCUUUACUGUAGAUUGUUAUUGGGAUUCGAUGUUGUCUGUAGAGGAUAGGUGGGAGACUAAGAAGCAUUGGCGUCAGCUGAUGUGGAGUCACCCUUGGAAUACCACCCUGACAGCAUUGGAUCUCUAACUGGGAGCCGUUAACCGGCUACAGGACAUUGGCAGUCGGGCAGUUUGACUGGGGCGGUCGCCUCCUAAAAAGUAACGGAGGCGU